rnacentral:lncRNA from 1 species
GAGCUAGGCUCCUAUUCUUUCGAAAGUACGGAGGCUUCCGUACUUGUAAGUUGUUUUCGAUGAUGGGACAUCUGAUUCGGCGACCGGUUCCGUUAAAUAUGAUCUACGCUAUUGGAACUAUCUAGAAACCAAAUUUCAUAAUUUUUUGACUUCGUUUGUCUAGUAAUCGAGUAGCCUCAAAAUUAAUGGCCGAAAAUAAAAAUCUCAUAAAAAAUAGUGAUAAAGGAGUCAAAUUUUAAAUUGGAAGUAUUGAUCUUGCUAUUGAUAUUAAGUAGAAUUUUUUAUUAAAUUUUUAUGUAAUUUGGAUAAUUCUACACCGUUGAACUUAAAAACAUGCCACAUCGACCGUUAAAAUCGUCAUUUUUGAGACUUUUUGAUCACUCGGUAAAUGAUGUCAAAAAAUUAUAAAAUUUGGUUUCUAGAUAGUUGCAAUAGAGUAGAUCAUACUAAUUAAUAGAGCCGAUCAUCGAAUCGGAUGUCCUAUCAUCGAAAACAACUUAUAAACAGCGGAGGUCUCCGUACAUUCGAAAGUACAUUAUAUAUAU